rnacentral:rRNA from 1 species
CAUGUAGGUGGGACAGACAGUCAGUUGUUAAAUAUUACGGCUUAACCGUGCUAUGCAAUUGAUACUUCUGUUCUUGAGUAUGUGAGGGGAUAAUGGAAUGCCUAGUGUAGCGGUGGAAUGCGUAGAUAUUAGGUAGAACACCAGUGGAGAAGUCGAUUAUCUGGCACAUUACUGACACUGAUAUGCGAAAGCGUGGGUAGCAAACA